AGCCAUGCACGUCUAAGUACAAACUAAAUGAUGGUGAAACUGCAAAUGGCUCAUUACAACGGUUAUGAUGUACCCGGGAGUUCCGAUGGAUAUUUCCAGUAACACUAGAACUAAUACAUGUCCCUGCGUUUAUUAGUUUCGCACAGUCCGUCGCUGAGUCAUGGUAAACAGUUGAUCGACUCGACGUCCCGGAACAGUUUCCGCCCCAUCAGCUUCGAUGGUUGGGUAUUGGCCUACCAUUGCAACAACGGGUAACGAGGAAUUAGGGUUUGAUUUCGGAGAGGGAGCCUGAGAAACGGCUACCACAUCUACGGAUGGCAGCAGGCGCGCAAAUUACCCAAUGCAGACACUGUGAGGUAGUGACGAGAAGUAACAAAGCGGGACUUCUGUUUCGCUAUUAUAAUGAGGAAUAACCAAAGGUCAUUCCGAUUAGCAACUGAUGGGAAAGUCUGGUGCCAGCAGCCGCGGUAAUACCAGCGUCAGUAGCAUAUAUUAAAAUUGUUGCAGUUAAAACGUCCGUAGUCUGUACGUCGUCCCAAACUCACUGCAGUCUUCCGUUUUCUUCAUUGAAUGCGGUAGUUUCUGCAGUCACUCCCUUGAUCAAAUUAGGUUGUUCAAGGUAGACCAAGUCUUCAUAUUUUCACAUGGAAUUGGGUGAGGGAACUUAAGAGUUUAAGUUUCUCGUCUUAGGAUCAUCCGGGGUCAUUCGUACUCGUCCGCGAGAGGUGAAAUUCUUGGACCGGACGAAGACGACCAGCAGCGAAAGCAUCUGUCAGGGAUGUUUUCUGCGACAAGGGACGAAGGUCAGGGUAUCGAAGACGAUUAGAUACCGUCGUAGU
rnacentral:rRNA from 1 species